rnacentral:tRNA from 1 species
UCCCUGGUGGCUUAGAGGGUAAAGCUUCUGCCUGCAAUGUGGGAGACUUAGGUUCGAUCCCUGAGUCGGGAA